GGGCCCGUAGCUUAGCCAGGUAGAGCGACGGGCUCUUAACCUAAGGGAUAGGGAGGCACCCGUAGGUCCCGGGUUCGAAUCCCGGCGGGCCCG
rnacentral:tRNA from 1 species